rnacentral:rRNA from 1 species
UGGGGAAUUUUGGACAAUGGGCGCAAGCCUGAUCCAGCAAUGCCGCGUGCAGGAUGAAGGCCUUCGGGUUGUAAACUGCUUUUGUACGGAACGAAACGGUCUUUUCUAAUACAGAAGGCUAAUGACGGUACCGUAAGAAUAAGCACCGGCUAACUACGUGCCAGCAGCCGCGGUAAUACGUAGGGUGCAAGCGUUAAUCGGAAUUACUGGGCGUAAAGCGUGCGCAGGCGGUUAUGCAAGACAGAUGUGAAAUCCCCGGGCUCAACCUGGGAACUGCCUUUGUGACUGCAUGGCUAGAGUGCGGCAGAGGGGGAUGGAAUUCCGCGUGUAGCAGUGAAAUGCGUAGAUAUGCGGAGGAACACCGGUGGCGAAGGCAAUCCCCUGGGCCUGCACUGACGCUCAUGCACGAAAGCGUGGGGAGCAAACA